rnacentral:rRNA from 1 species
AUUGAACGCUGGCGGCAGGCCUAACACAUGCAAGUCGAACGAGUGGCGGACGGGUGAGUAAUGUCUGGGAAACUGCCCGAUGUAGGGGGAUAACUACUGGAAACGGUAGCUAAUACCGCAUACCAUCGGAUGUGCCCAGAUGGGAUUAGCUUGUAGGUGAGGUAACGGAUCACCUAGGCGCCGAUCCCUAGCUGGUCUGAGAGGAUGACAAGCCACACGUGAACUGUGACACGUGCCAGACUCCUACGGGAGGCAGCAGUGGGGAAGAUUGCACAAGGGGCGCAAGCCUGAUGCAGCCAUGCCGCGUGUAUGAAGAAGGCCGUCGGGUUGUAAAGUACUUUAAGCGGGGAGGCGUUACCCGCAGAAGAAGCACCGGCUAACUCCGUGACAGCAGCCGCGGUAAUUC